rnacentral:rRNA from 1 species
UACGAAGGGGACUAGCGUUGUUCGGAAUUACUGGGCGUAAAGCGCGCGUAGGCGGAUCGCUAAGUCAGGGGUGAAAUCCCAGGGCUCAACCCUGGAACUGCCUUUGAUACUGACGAUCUGGAGAUCGGGAGAGGUUGGUGGAAUUCCGAGUGUAGAGGUGAAAUUCGUAGAUAUUCGCAAGAACACCAGUGGCGAAGGCGGCUUACUGGGUCCGGUUCUGACGCUGAGGCGCGAAAGCGUGGGGAGCAAA